AUUUUUAGCUCAUCUGAUUUUUUGAAAAAAAAUGAUGAGUUAUUGUCAUCACUUGAGCGGUUGUCGGCGUCGGUGUCGGCGUCUGCGUCGGCGUUGCCUAGUUAAGUUUUAUGUUUAGGUCAGCUUUUCUCCUAAACUAUCAAAGCUAUUGCUUUGAAACUUGGAAUACUUGUUCACCAUCAUAAGCUGACCCUGUAUAGCAAGAAACAUAACUCCAUCUUGCUUUUUGCAAGAUUUAUGGCCCCUUUUGUACUUAGAAAAUAUCAGAUUUCUUGGUUAAGUUUUAUGUUUAGGUCAACUUUUCUCCCAAACUGUCAAAGCUAUUGCUUUGAAACUUGGAAUACUUGUUCACCAUCAUAAGCUGACCCUGUACAGCAAGAAACAUAACUCCAUCUUGCUUUUUGCAAGAUUUAUUGCCCCUUUUGGACUUAGAAAAUCAGUUUUCUUGGUUAAGUUAUAUGUUUAGGUCAGCUUUUAUCCUAAACUAUCAAAGCUAUUGCUUUAAAACUUGCAACACUUGUUCACUAUCAUAAGUUGACCCUGUACAGCAAGAAACAUAACUCCAUCCUGCUUUUUGCAAGAUUUAUGGCCCCUUUUGGACUUAGAAAAUAUCAGAUUUCUUGGUUAAGUUUUAUGUUUAGGUCAACUUUUUCUCUUAAACUAUCAAAGCUAUUGCUUUGAAACUUGCAACACUUGUUCACCAUCAUAAGCUGACCCUGUACAGCAAGCAGCGUAACUCCAUCCUGAUUUUUGCAAUAAUUAUUGCCCCUUUUGGACUUAGAAAAUCAUUUUCUUGGUUGAGUAUUAUGUUUAAGUCAACUUUUUUCUCUUAAACUAUCAAAGCUAUUGCUUUAAAACUUGCAACUCUUGUUCACCAUCAUAAGCUGACCCUGUACAGCAAGCAACAUAACUCCAUCCUGCUUUUUGCAAUAAUUAUUGCCCCUUUUGAACUUAGAAAAAUCAUUUUCUUGGUUGAAUAUUAUGUUUAAGUCAACUUUUCUCAUAAACUAUCAAAGCUAUUGCUUUAAAACUUGCAACAGUUUUUCACCAUCAUAAGUGGACACUGUACAUCAAGAAACAUAACUCUAUCCUGCUUUUUGCAAGAGUGAUGGCCCUUUUUAGACUUAGAAAAUCAUGGGUAGGACAAUAUUUCUAUUAUAAAAAAAAAAUC